AACGAACGCUGGCGGCAUGCCUAACACAUGCAAGUCGAACGAGACCUUCGGGUCUAGUUGCGCACGGGUGCGUAACGCGUGGGAACCUGCCCUUAGGUUCGGAAUAACUCCCCGAAAGGGGUGCUAAUACCGGAUAAUGUCUUCGGACCAAAGAUUUAUCGCCUUUGGAUGGGCCCGCGUUGGAUUAGCUAGUUGGUAGGGUAAAAGCCUACCAAGGCGACGAUCCAUAGCUGGUCUGAGAGGAUGAUCAACCACACUGGGACUGAGACACGGCCCAGACUCCUACGGGAAGCAGCAGUGGGGAAUAUUGGACAAUGGGCGAAAGCCUGAUCCAGCAAUGCCGCGUGAGUGAUGAAGGCCUUAGGGUUGUAAAGCUCUUUUACCCGGGAUGAUAAUGACAGUACCGGGAGAAUAAGCUCCGGCUAACUCCGUG
rnacentral:rRNA from 1 species